ensembl:lncRNA
AUGGGUCCUCAGCUACACUUCAGCAGCACCUACUCAGAGGAGUUCAGUUACCCGGCUCGGGUCAAACCCACCCGGCCCAGACCGUCCUCUGCAUAUCGCAGGAACAAUCCUCAUCCACAACCGGACUUUCUGAUGCCAAGAAUGCUGCAGACAGGAUACGGCUCACGGAAAUACUUUCAGACAACUACUCCUUCUACCACUUUUCUACCUCCAGUCAGACACAUGUCAGUCCAGUAUCCAGAUGCACAAACAGCACAUGGACAGUCAAUGCAGAGCUCAUCACAAAGAGAUUACAAAGCACCUGUGGUCUCGUCUGCAGUUUGUACACUGCCACCUGCUGCCUGCUUUCUCAAACCACAACCAAACAACUUUGCUCAUGCAACAAUCUCAAACACACAAGGGAAAUAUUCAGAAACAGAUCAUAUCAGAUCAGCUUGGAACCAGCAGAUGGAGAUCAUGCCAUCUUUAAAAGCCUUCAAACACCAGGGUACCCAUCAUCAAAGAUCGCGCUCAAAAUCCACUACUGAUUGCAGUGAAGGACACAGCUGUUUCUAUGUGGUGAAGCCAUAUAAAGUCGGACACUACAUCAUCCACCCAGAGUUUGUGUCAGAAGCAAAGCACUACUAAAAGCCACAUUGUUUGGGCAUUUUAUAUCUAUUUUUUUUUCCCAUUUAUUGUCAGUUUAUAAAUGUCAUUUUACAGUGUAUUAUUGAGGUACGUUAUGUGUUUGGAGAUCCUGCCUUGAGAUCUAAAUGUGCAUUACAUGACAAAUAAACAACGUUUAUGAUGUGCCUGUUAAAUGUUU